CUUUCCAUCAGCUCUGCUUCAGCUGCACAUGCAGGACAAUAUAUCUGCAAGGGACACCUGAAAGACAGGUCUGUCAACAGCAGCUCUAGUUCUGGACUUACUCUCAAAGUAUAUGAUAAGAAACCCACUGUCAUACUGACGCAGGAUCCAGAGUACAAG